ensembl:lncRNA
CGCGGAGCUGGAGCCGCCAUGAUGGCACCAGCGGGAUGGUGGAGCUGUGGGGUUCUGUGCGAGGAAAGCGGUGCUUCGUCGCCCUACGUCCCCGCCGCCGCCUGCCCUGUGCCUCGGGUGUCGCCGGGCGGUCAGGGGAAGUCGGCGCAGGGGCACCUGCUGGCCCUAUUCGUCCCUCGUCAGAAUCCAGCCAUCCUCCGGAGGGGGUACCGAGCUGUCCUCCGUCGUUGCAGCGGGGCACUGCUGGGCUGUGAGAAGCGGCGGCUGACCACGAGCAGCGGAACCCUCCCAGUCUCCGGCAGCAGCUCCUGGCUGAGCCGGGCAGCCCUGAAAGAGAGGGACUGAUCCCACGGGUCGAGACGUGUUCAAGCCUGGCAGAGGUUCAGGCGAGCGCCUUCGGUUCUUGCUUGGCUCAAAUCAGCAGCAGCGAGUGCUGAGUUCCUGCCCCGCAGGGUGUAGGAACAUCCAGUGAUGAUUGGAGUGAUGGUGUCCUACUUGGAAAUGGAGGUGCUGGAUGGCAGAAGAGGAUUCUUGGCCAAAUAUGGAAUCAUCUCUGUUCCUUCAUGAGGUGUCAUGGUUUUGUAACUCUGCUAUUGGUAUUCCACAUCACAAUACCAUGGACAAAAGAGAAGAACUACGUAUCCCAUAGGACCUCACGGUCAGAGAAGGAAGAUACAUCAUGGAAGAUAUGUCAUCUGGUUGUGCGCAGUUUUUUUCACUUUCGCUUGCUGCCAGGGAGAGGAGUGGGUGUGCAUCCAAGCCAUGCGCCUUCAUCAAGUACGGCUUUCAGUUUUGGAAACUCUUUCUCUCUCUCUCUCUGUCGCUCUUUCACUCUCUCUCAUUUCAUUUGAUUUAUUAUCCUUACUUCCAAUUAGAUUGUAUUAUAUCGUGUCAUCUUGCAUUCCAAC